rnacentral:rRNA from 1 species
CCUACGGGGUGCAGCAGUGGGGGAUAUUGCACAAUGGGGGGAACCCUGAUGCAGCGACGCCGCGUGGGUGAAGAAGCGCCUCGGCGCGUAAAGCCCUGUCAGCAGGGAAGAAAAUGACGGUACCUGAAGAAGAAGCCCCGGCUAACUACGUGCCAGCAGCCGCGGUAAUACGUAGGGGGCAAGCGUUAUCCGGUGUUACGGGGUGUAAAGGGGGCGCAGGCGGCGCGGCAAGCCAGGAGUGAAAGCCCGGGGCCCAACCCCGGGACUGCUCGUGGAACUGCGUGGCUGGAGUGCAGAAGGGGCAGGAGGAAUUCCUGGUGUAGCGGUGAAAUGCGGAGAUAUCAGGAGGAACACCGGUGGCGAAGGCGGCCUGCUGGACUGCAACUGACGUUGAGGCCCGAAAGCGUGGGGAGCAAACAGGAUUAGAUACCCUUGUAGUC